UACGGGGGGGGCAAGCGUUGUUCGGAAUUACUGGGCGUAAAGGGCUCGUAGGUGGCCAACUAAGUCAGACGUGAAAUCUCCCGGCUUAACCGGGAGGGUGCGGUGAAUACUGAGGGACUAGAGUACGGGAGAGGAAAGUGGAAUUCCUGGUGUAGCGGUGAAAUGCGUAGAUAUCAGGAGGAACACCGGUGGUGUAGACGGCUUUCUGGACCGUAACUGACGCUGAGACACGAAAGCGUGGGUAGCAAACAGG
rnacentral:rRNA from 1 species